rnacentral:rRNA from 1 species
GACGAACGCUGGCGGCGUGCCUAAUACAUGCAAGUUGAGCGCUGAAGGUUGGUACUUGUACCCACUGGAUGAGCAGCGAACGGGUGAGUAACGCGUGGGGAAUCUGCCUUUGAGCAGGGGACAACAUUUGGAAACGAAUGCUAAUACCGCAUAAAAACUUUAAACACAAGUUUUAAGUUUGAAAGAUGCAAUUGCAUCACUCAAAGAUGAUCCCGCGUUGUAUUAGCUAGUUGGUGAGGUAAAGGCUCACCAAGGCGAUGAUACAUAGCCGACCUGAGAGGGUGAUCGGCCACAGUGGGACUGAGACACGGCCCAAACUCCUACGGGAGGCAGCAGUAGGGAAUCUUCGGCAAUGGACGAAAGUCUGAACGAGCAACGCCGCGUGAGUGAAGAAGGUUUUCGGAUCGUAAAACUCUGUUGGUAGAGAAGAACGUUGGUGAGAGUGGAAAGCUCACCAAGUGACGGUAACUACCCAGAAAGGGACGGCUAACUACGUG